rnacentral:lncRNA from 1 species
AAGAGAGAAAUGCAAACUCGAUUUAUAUGAGUUCAGUCACUCCUCGUGCCUACGUCCAAUCCUCAAGCAGCACACUUAAGAUUUUCCACUAUCUCUAUAAAUCCUUUUCAGUUUUUGAACACACCUUGGGAUCCCUCACCCUUGUGUUCAAGAUUCUCACAAGCCAAGAGACAAACAGUCUCUUGAUUACAACUAAGUAUAUGAGAUGUGCAGAAAGAUUCUCUCCUUUAG